rnacentral:rRNA from 1 species
AGAGUUUGAUCCUGGCUCAGAACGAACGCUGGCGGCGUGCCUAACACAUGCAAGUCGAACGAGAACGCACCUUCGGGUGCAAGUAGAGUGGCGAACGGGUGAGUAACGCGUGGGUAAUCUGCCCUUGGGUGGGGGAUAACUCUUCGAAAGAGGAGCUAAUACCGCAUAAGACCACUUGACCGAGGUCGAGUGGGAAAAGGUGGGGAUCUUCGGACCUACCGCCCUUGGAUGAGCCCGCGUACCAUUAGGUAGUUGGUGAGGUAACGGCUCACCAAGCCAGAGAUGGUUAGCUGGUCUGAGAGGACGAUCAGCCACACUGGGACUGAGACACGGCCCAGACUCCUACGGGAGGCAGCAGUGGGGAAUAUUGCGCAAUGGGGGAAACCCUGACGCAGCAACGCCGCGUGUGUGAAGAAGGCUUUCGGGUCGUAAAGCACUGUUGAGUAGGAAGAGAAGGCGUUGGUUAAUAUCCAGCGCCCCGACGGUACUAUUCGAGGAAGCACCGGCUAACUCCGUGCCAGCAGCCGCGGUAAUACGGAGGGUGCAAGCGUUGUUCGGAAUUAUUGGGCGUAAAGGGCGCGUAGGCGGGUUUUUAAGUCUGAUGUGAAAUCCCUCGGCUCAACCGAGGACGUGCAUUGGAUACUGAAAAUCUUGAGUCCUGGAGAGGAAAGCGGAAUUCCCAGUGUAGAGGUGAAAUUCGUAGAUAUUGGGAGGAACACCGGCGGCGAAGGCGGCUUCCUGGACAGUGAUUGACGCUGAGGUGCGAAAGCGUGGGUAGCAAACAGGAUUAGAUACCCUGGUAGUCCACGCCGUAAACGAUGGGUACUAGUUGGUGCGGGUAUUGACCCCUGCGCUGACGGAGCUAACGCAUUAAGUACCCCGCCUGGGGAGUACGGCCGCAAGGCUAAAACUCAAAGGAAUUGACGGGGGCCCGCACAAGCGGUGGAGCAUGUGGAUUAAUUCGAAGCAACGCGAAGAACCUUACCUAGCCUUGACAUCCUUGGAACUCGCCCGAAAAGGCGAGGUGCUCUUCGGAGAAUCAAGUGACAGGUGCUGCAUGGCUGUC